rnacentral:pre_miRNA from 14 species
UUUCAAAUCAGAAGCUGUUGAAAGAUUCCUGAAGAGAGACCCUUACUCAAGUCUCGGGAAGUCGUGGACCCCAGACACAGAGAGACCA